AUUGAACGCUGGCGGCAUGCUUUACACAUGCAAGUCGAACGGUAACAGGUUAAGCUGACGAGUGGCGAACGGGUGAGUAAUGCUUCGGAACGUGCCCAGUCGUGGGGGAUAACGCAGCGAAAGCUGUGCUAAUACCGCAUACGAUCUCUGGAUGAAAGCGGGGGACCGAAAGGCCUCGCGCGAUUGGAGCGGCCGAUGUCAGAUUAGGUAGUUGGUGGGGUAAAGGCCCACCAAGCCAACGAUCUGUAGCUGGUCUGAGAGGACGACCAGACACACUGGGAAUGAGACACUGACGAGACUGCGACGGGAGGCAGCAGUGGGGAAUUUUGGACAAUGGGCGAAAGCCUGAUCCAGCAAUGCCGCGUGUGUGAAGAAGGCCUUCGGGUUGUAAAGCACUUUUGUCCGGAAAGAAAUGGCUGUGGUUAAUACCUGGGGUCGAUGACGGUACCGGAAGAAUAAGGACCGGCUAACUACGUGCCAGCCGCCGCAGUAA
rnacentral:rRNA from 1 species